AUAUCAUGGUGUGGACACUUUUUCAGAAGAUCAUUGUAUCUCUCCCAAGAAUCAUGAAGUUGUUCACCCAGGAUUUGGGUAAACUACAUGAUCUCUUUUCUCAUUU